rnacentral:misc_RNA from 1 species
GCAGCGACGGCACCUCUUGCUCGCCUCUUCAGUUGUCGGAACAAGCAACGCUUGUCCGCAGUCGGUUAUCCUGUGCUGAAUACCUAUCGUGAGGGCAUUACGUCGGCUAAAACGAUUGCAUCACCGGCCUGCGACGCUGCCCCCCGUGGGCGUGCGGCGCGGGACGGUCACCAAGGCACCCUCCGUGUUUCGCACCUCUUUCGCCUUCACCGGCGUUCGGGUUGACGACGCACAGAGGGAUGCUCGUUAUCUCGGGGACGGAAAAUCUUGUGGGUACGAGGCCUCGGCCUCCGAUCACCACGAAAAUGCGUUCUACGCUCAUUGCGGACGACGGUUGGCUCGGCCUGCGGUCUUGCACUCGCUGC